rnacentral:rRNA from 1 species
UGGGGAAUAUUGCACAAUGGAGGGAACUCUGAUGCAGCGACGCCGCGUGAACGAAGAAGGCUUUCGAGUCGUAAAGUUCUUUUAUAUGGGAAGAUAAUGACGGUACCAUAAGAAAAAGCCCCGGCUAACUACGUGCCAGCAGCCGCGGUAAUACGUAGGGGGCUAGCGUUGUCCGGAAUCACUGGGCGUAAAGGGUUCGCAGGCGGAAAUGCAAGUCAGGUGUAAAAGGCAGUAGCUUAACUACUGUAAGCAUUUGAAACUGCAUAUCUUGAGAAGAGUAGAGGUAAGUGGAAUUUUUAGUGUAGCGGUGAAAUGCGUAGAUAUUAAAAAGAAUAACGGUGGCGAAGGCGGCUUACUGGGCUCAUUCUGACGCUGAGGAACGAAAGCGUGGGUAGCAAACAGG